UGUUAGUAUAACUCUUAGUAACA
rnacentral:miRNA from 1 species